UACGUAGGGCGCAAGCGUUUGUCCGGAAUUAUUGGGCGUAAAGAGCUCGUAGGCGGCCAGUUGCGUCCGCUGUGAAAUCCCGGGGCUUAACCCCGGGCGUGCAGUGGAUACGGGCAGACUAGAGGUAUGCAGGGGAGAACGGAAUUCCUGGUGUAGCGGUGAAAUGCGCAGAUAUCAGGAGGAACACCGAUGGCGAAGGCAGGUCUCGUGGGCCACUACUGACGCUGAGAAGCGAAAGCAUGGGGAGCGAACAGG
rnacentral:rRNA from 1 species